rnacentral:rRNA from 1 species
UACGAAGGGGACUAGCGUUGUCCGGAUUUACUGGGCGUAAAGAGCGCGCAGGCGGUCGUGCAAGUCGCGUGUGAAAGCCCCCGGCUCAACUGGGGAGGGUCACGCGAUACUGUUCGACUCGAAGGCAGGAGAGGGAAGCGGAAUUCCCGGUGUAGUGGUGAAAUGCGUAGAUAUCGGGAGGAACACCAGUGGCGAAGGCGGCUUCCUGGCCUGUUCUUGACGCUGAGGCGCGAAAGCUAGGGUAGCAAACGGG